rnacentral:rRNA from 1 species
UACGAAGGGAGCUAGCGUUGUUCGGAAUCACUGGGCGUAAAGCGCACGUAGGCGGACUUGUCAGUCAGGGGUGAAAUCCCGGGGCUCAACCUCGGAACUGCCUCUGAUACAGCAAGUCUUGAGUCCGGAAGAGGUGGGUGGAAUUCCUAGUGUAGAGGUGAAAUUCGUAGAUAUUAGGAAGAACACCAGUGGCGAAGGCGGCUCACUGGCCCGAUACUGACGCUGAGGUGCGAAAGCGUGGGGAGCAAACAGG